UCCGUCAUCGCUAUCUCAUGC
rnacentral:piRNA from 1 species